rnacentral:tRNA from 1 species
AGUAUUAUAUUUUAAUAAAAAAAUUUUAAAUUGCAAAUUUAAAGAUAGAAAUAUUCUUAAUACUU